UACGAAGGGGGCAAGCGUUGUUCGGAAUUACUGGGCGUAAAGAGUGUGUAGGCGGUGCUCUAAGUUCGGUGUGAAAUCUCCUGGCUCAACUGGGAGGGUGCGCCGGAAACUGGAGUGCUUGAGCGUGGGAGAGGAAAGCGGAAUUCCUGGUGUAGCGGUGAAAUGCGUAGAUAUCAGGAGGAACACCUGUGGUGUAGACGGCUUUCUGGACCAUAGCUGACGCUGAGACACGAAAGCGUGGGUAGCAAACAGG
rnacentral:rRNA from 1 species